CAACCAGUCAUAGUCAGGAUGGAACCCGGAUCUCUGGCGCUGAAAGACAGCAACUCUACCACUGCGAUGAGAAGAAGGAAAAAGAAGGAAUGCUACAAGCACAGAGCAGUUCACUGUCGAUGACCCAAAAUAUUAACAAUACAAAACAGGAAACUACAGUGGCUGAUAAUAACAGAAGAACGCUUAAUGGUUGAUGUUUUUCUCUCUUCCAACAGAAGCAUGAAUCCAAUUGAAAUAAACAGGUUGACACCUUCAUUAAAAUAAUACACGGGGAACUCUCUCUGAAAGCAUUAAGCCAUCUCGCAUUGUUAACACAAUCUCUCGCAUGUACAGCUGGUUUGACUUUGUCCAGAAGGUUUAUUUUGUAUUGAAAAUAAAUUCAUUACUCCUGCGAUCAUUAAACAGAA